CCCUAUCCCCAUCCCUCCCCAGCCAGAAGCGGGUGCAGUGGGGGCUGGGCUGCUCGCCCAUGUGCGAAACGAGGCACAUGCGUUUAUAACUGAUGAGCUUAUUUUUGAGCUUAUUUUUUAUUAAUUGCAUCCUAGCAUAGGUUAUAAGAAAAUUUACUCCUUUUUCCCGGCCAUCGCCCGCCCCGUCGCCACCCCCGCGCUUUCGGCCUGUGAGUCCAAAGUGGAGCAGUAAAAAAACUGCAGCUCUCCCUUUGCCAGCUCCAGGCACAGCGAUGCUCAGGGUUUAGGAGGCAUUUCACGUGCCCAGCUUGCGCUUGGACGCCUUCUUGCACAAGCAGGCAGAGCCUGCCUCGCCUCCUCUCUUCUCUGCCCCCAGCCUCUGCCCCCCAAUACCCUGGCGGCAGCAGAAGCCAGCGGCACCAUCUGCUUUUCAAGAAAAUGCGAGAGGUCUUGCAGAAAACAGUCUAAUGACCUUCCCAGAAGAAAUUCCGUAUUAAGCUCUAGGCUGUAGUGAAGUAUCUAUUCCUUGUCUUUAAAAAAUAAGUUCUAUCCCGAAUCUUGUGGAAGUCUCAUUCUUUUGAAAGAAGUGGAUGUGCAAUACCUUCUGCUAAGACCUGUUUCCCUUGCCAAGUUUUAACUGGGACAAGCUUUGUCCUUUGCUGUUGUUGACCUCGUGCUAGCUGGUGUUUAGUGUGUGUUGAAAAUGGCAUCCUCCAGUUCAUUAGCCUUAGAAGCACGUGUCCACUUGAGACCGACAAUCCACAGAGCUCUCUCAAAGUUUGGUAACACGCUUUUUGAAAUGUGGCUAGAGAAGAUACCAACAGACUUCAGAAGACUGGAUUAGACAUGGAUUCAAUUUGUGGAGGGUAUCAAACUCAUACCUCCCAUCACUGAGAUUACAGGUCCUCUAGAUGUGUGCCUUUUUUCUAACAAUGGCCGUGACCUUCUGCAUUUGUGAAUUUGCUCAAGAAAAUGAAGGCAUCCUUGAAUCCUGCAGUCCUCUCCAACCUCAGGUGAGAAAUUUAGUAGUUCCUCUCCAUCCCUGACUCUGUCCUUGCAGGGCUCCUUCUUGUUCCUCUGCCCCAUUGGACUCCUUGGCUCCCCUCACAUAGAACAUAAGGUUGCACAACAUCUGACUGGUCCACCUCAGCAACGUGUCUGCAUGCCUGUGCUCUGCUCUUUCCAUUCCUUCCCUUCAGGUCCUGCCCAGAAAGGAUGUCUCUUACCACCAGAAAAGGAAGAAUCACAUUGGGCCAGCUUGUAUUCUGAGCUAGUUCUUAAGGAUUUUUUCUGGGUGGCAAUGGGCAUGGUUGUACUUGUAGUGUGACUUACACAGUCUUCUGCAUCAAGCCCUAGCAGUGAUAAGGAAACAAGUUCAGCUGUACACUAAUUGAGGCAAGUUUCAGUUCUUCUCAGCCCCCCAGGAGAUUCCUUCUUAUGGAUUUGGUUAUACUUUUUGCUU